CUUCAACGACCCCAACCAGAGCGGUCGUUCGGCCGACCGCUCCCGACCGUACGUCGCCAGCAACGCCUGCGCCUC
rfam:Streptomyces scabiei 87.22 complete genome